GCGGGAGUGGCGGAACUGGCAGACGCGCAAGACUUAGGAUCUUGUGGCCGAAAGGCCGUGGGGGUUCAAAUCCCUCCUUCCGCACCA
rnacentral:tRNA from 2 species